AUUGAACGCUGGCGGCAUGCCUUACACAUGCAAGUCGAACGGUAACGCGGGGCAACCUGGCGACGAGUGGCGAACGGGUGAGUAAUGCAUCGGAACGUGCCCAGUUGUGGGGGAUAACUGCUCGAAAGAGCAGCUAAUACCGCAUACGACCUGAGGUUGAAAGCGGGGGAUCGCAAGACCUCGCGCAAUUGGAGCGGCCGAUGUCGGAUUAGCUAGUUGGUGGGGUAAAGGCCCACCAAGGCGACGAUCCGUAGCUGGUCUGAGAGGACGACCAGGCAGACUGGGACUGAGACACGGCCCAGACUCCUACGGGAGGCAGCAGUGGGGAAUUUUGGACAAUGGACGCAAGUCUGAUCCAGCCAUGCCGCGUGCGGGAAGAAGGCCUUCGGGUUGUAAACCGCUUUUGUCAGGGAAGAAAUCUUCUGGGUUAAUACCUCGGGAGGAUGACGGUACCUGAAGAAUAAGCACCGGCUAACUACGUGCCAGCAGCCGCAGUAAUAC
rnacentral:rRNA from 1 species